rnacentral:rRNA from 1 species
GACGAACGCUGGCGGCGUGCUUAACACAUGCAAGUCGAACGGAAAGGCCUCUUUCGGGGGGUACUCGAGUGGCGAACGGGUGAGUAACACGUGAGUAACCUGCCCUUGACUUUGGGAUAACUUCAGGAAACUGGGGCUAUUACCGGAUAGGAGCUCCUGCUGCAUGGUGGGGGCUGGAAAGUUUCGGCGGUGGGGGGUGGAUUCGCGGCGUAUCAGCUUGUUGGUGGGGUAGUGGCUUACCAAGGCUUUGACGGGUAGCCGGCCUGAGGGGGUGACCGGCCGCAUUGGGACUGAGAGACGGCCCAGACUCCUACGGGUGGCAGCAGGGGGGAAUAUUGCACAAUGGGUGGAAGCCUGAUGCAGCAGCGCCGUGUGCGGGAUGACGGCCUUCGGGUUGUAAACCGCUUUCGCUCAUGACGAAGCUUUGUGUGACGGUAGUGGGUAAAGAAGCACCGGCUAACUACGUG